AUUGAAACAUCGGUUCUCAUUCGAUCACCAAAGUUAAGUAACGUCGAUUCUGGUUAGUAACUAGAUGGGUGACCUCUUGGGAAUAUCAGCUG